rnacentral:rRNA from 1 species
AUGCCGGAUUUGGCCCCAAUUGACCCCAGAGUGGCGCUCUCAUGCCGGAUUUGGCCUCAAUUGACCCCAGAGUGGUCUCCCGUUAUGAGCCGCAGGAGAACUCGGAAGCCUAUGAGCGCCUCGAGGCAGAGCAUGAUGACAAGGAUUACAUGGCCGAGCUCCGCCAUCGGGUAUCUGAAGUGCAUUGAGGAGGAGUGCUGGCACUUUGAGUUGUAUAAGGUGGGGACGACCUACAGAGCCGGGCCAUCCAGUGUGUCUGCCAUCGACCUUUGCUCCAGCAACGGCUUCGGGUCCAGGGUUGACGACGGAGACGGCUCUGAUGAUGGAGCGGGCGAGGGAGGUAGCGACAACAACAACGAUGAGGACAUGAACGGCAAGCCAAAUUGGGAGAAGAUCAUGACCAAGGAGGACUAG